AACAACAACCCAAACAAAAAAUAAACAAAAAGAACCUCGGACUCCUUUCUUGUCGCUGUCCGGGGAGUUCCCAGGGCAAAUCUGGUCUGACACGCACUUAGGCCGAGCUACAGUUCGAGCCACCGCGCUACGCAAAGCCACAGCCAGCAGCACGCUCCGCGCUUCCUCCCGGGCAGCUCCACAGUCCUCUCCCCGCUCGCGGGAGGUGGGGAGUGCGGUCGCCAGUCCGUUGCGCCAAGGUGGAUUGGGGGGUCCCCCUAUCGCCCAGACUCGGUUUGCGUCCUUCCUUCAACCUUAACUGCGGGCCCCUGCCACCCGCACUAACACCAUCACGUCCUCUGCACCGAAACUUCCCACCAAGUAACACCCAAUUAACUCCAUCCUCUCCUCCAACACAGAAUUCCACCCACACACUUAUUCCCUCUCCCAGCGCUUCAGACACCUCUCUCAUCGAAAAACCGGGCGAAAGGAAGCCAUCAACGAGCGGAGAACUCUGGCUGAAUUAACGGCGACUCCCAGAAGCUCCUGCCCCUGUGACAGCUGUCGCUUGGGCAGCCCGAGAGACGAAUUGUCCUCCUUCCUGGUGCCAGAGGACACAGGAAAUUAGCCAGGUUGCGAGUUGCAAAGCUGCCGCCGCGGCGCCGGGAACGGGGCGCGCCCCAUCUCCAGCGGGAGCCGCCAGGCCUGGCCUGGCCAGGGCUUCCCUUCGCUCGCCAUCUCCGGACAAAGCGCAGCCGAGCCAGGCUCCAAGGCAGAGCUCCGAAGCAGGCAGGACGGAGCGGAGCAAAAGAAUGCGGCUCUAUUCUCGCAAGGGAAAUUAUAAAAAAGUUCAUGUUCACGGUUCUCAUCCACAUGACCGACAGCGGCCAAUGGAAGGGCCGAACAACUCAUAAAGUUGUAUUGCAAAGUUGUAAA